rnacentral:rRNA from 1 species
AUUGAACGCUGGCGGCAGGCUUAACACAUGCAAGUCGAGCGGGGUGAUGGUGCUUGCACUAUCACUUAGCGGCGGACGGGUGAGUAAUGCUUAGGAAUCUGCCUAUUAGUGGGGGACAACAUCUCGAAAGGGAUGCUAAUACCGCAUACGUCCUACGGGAGAAAGCAGGGGAUCACUUGUGACCUUGCGCUAAUAGAUGAGCCUAAGUCGGAUUAGCUAGUUGGUAGGGUAAAGGCCUACCAAGGCGACGGGCUGUAGCGGGUCUGAGAGGAUGAUCCGCCACACUGGGACUGAGACACGGCCCAGACUCCUACGGGAGGCAGCAGUGGGGAAUAUUGGACAAUGGGGGGAACCCUGAUCCAGCCAUGCCGCGUGUGUGAAGAAGGCCCUAUGGUUGUAAAGCACUUUAAGCGAGGAGGAGGCUCUUUUGGUUAAUACCCAAGAUGAGUGGACGUUACUCGCAGAAUAAGCACCGGCUAACUCUGUGCCAGCCGCCGCGGUAA